GAUGAACGCUGGCGGCGUACCUAAUACAUGCAAGUCGAGCGAACAGACGAGGAGCUUGCUCCUCUGACGUUAGCGGCGGACGGGUGAGUAACACGUGGAUAACCUACCUAUAAGACUGGGAUAACUUCGGGAAACCGGAGCUAAUACCGGAUAAUAUAUUGAACCGCAUGGUUCAAUAGUGAAAGACGGUUUUGCUGUCACUUAUAGAUGGAUCCGCGCCGCAUUAGCUAGUUGGUAAGGUAACGGCUUACCAAGGCGACGAUGCGUUGCCGACCUGAGAGGGUGAUCGGCCACACUGGAACUGAGACACGGUCCAGACUCCUACGGGAGGCAGCAGUAGGAAAUCUUCCGCAAUGGGCGAAAGCCUGACGGAGCAACGCCGCGUGAGUGAUGAAGGUCUUCGGAUCGUAAAACUCUGUUAUUAGGGAAGAACAAAUGUGUAAGUAACUAUGCACGUCUUGACGGUACCUAAUCAGAAAGCCACGGCUAACUACGUG
rnacentral:rRNA from 1 species